rnacentral:rRNA from 1 species
GAUGAACGCUGGCGGCGUGCCUAAUACAUGCAAGUCGAGCGAACGGACGAGGAGCUUGCUUCUCUGAUGUUAGCGGCGGACGGGUGAGUAACACGUGGAUAACCUACCUAUAAGACUGGGAUAACUUCGGGAAACCGUAGCUAAUACCGGAUAAUAUUUUGAACCGCAUGGUUCAAAAGUGAAAGACGGUCUUGCUGUCACUUAUAGAUGGAUCCGCGCUGCAUUAGCUAGUUGGUAAGGUAACGGCUUACCAAGGCAACGAUGCAUAGCCGACCUGAGAGGGUGAUCGGCCACACUGGAACUGAGACACGGUCCAGACUCCUACGGGAGGCAGCAGUAGGGAAUCUUCCGCAAUGGGCGAAAGCCUGACGGAGCAACGCCGCGUGAGUGAUGAAGGUCUUCGGAUCGUAAAACUCUGUUAUUAGGGAAGAACAUAUGUGUAAGUAACUGUGCACAUCUUGACGGUACCUAAUCAGAAAGCCACGGCUAACUACGUG